GACGAACGCUGGCGGCGUGCCUAAUACAUGCAAGUAGAACGCUGAAGAGAGGAGCUUGCUCUUCUUGGAUGAGUUGCGAACGGGUGAGUAACGCGUAGGUAACCUGCCUUGUAGCGGGGGAUAACUAUUGGAAACGAUAGCUAAUACCGCAUAACAAUGGAUGACACAUGUCAUUUAUUUGAAAGGGGCAAUUGCUCCACUACAAGAUGGACCUGCGUUGUAUUAGCUAGUAGGUGAGGUAAUGGCUCACCUAGGCGACGAUACAUAGUCGACCUGAGAGGGUGAUCGGCCACACUGGGACUGAGACACGGCCCAGACUCCUACGGGAGGCAGCAGUAGGGAAUCUUCGGCAAUGGGGGCAACCCUGACCGAGCAACGCCGCGUGAGUGAAGAAGGUUUUCGGAUCGUAAAGCUCUGUUGUAAGUCAAGAACGGGUGUGAGAGUGGAAAGUUCACACUGUGACGGUAGCUUACCAGAAAGGGACGGCUAACUACGUG
rnacentral:rRNA from 1 species